rnacentral:rRNA from 1 species
UACGUAGGGGGCUAGCGUUGUCCGGAAUCAUUGGGCGUAAAGAGCGUGUAGGCGGUCCGGUAAGUCCGCUGUGAAAGUCGGGGGCUCAACCCUCGAAUGCCGGUGGAUACUGUCGGGCUAGAGUGCGGAAGAGGCGUGUGGAAUUCCCGGUGUAGCGGUGAAAUGCGCAGAUAUCGGGAGGAACACCUAUGGCGAAGGCAGCUCGCUGGGACGUUACUGACGCUGAGACGCGAAAGCGUGGGGAGCAAACAGG